rnacentral:rRNA from 1 species
AAGACCUUGCGCUUUUGGAGCGGCCGAMGUCUGAUUAGCUUGUUGGUGAGGUAAAAGCUUACCAAGGCUUCGAUCAGUAGCUGGUCUGAGAGGACGGCCAGCCACACUGGGACUGAGACACGGCCCAGACUCCUACGGGAGGCAGCAGUGGGGAAUUUUGGACAAUGGGGGCAACCCUGAUCCAGCCAUGCCGCGUGAGUGAAGAAGGCCUUCGGGUUGUAAAGCUCUUUCAGCCGGAACGAAACGGUUACGGUUAAUACCCGUGACUACUGACGGUACCGGAAGAGGAAGCACCGGCUAACUACGUGCCAGCAGCCGCGGUAAUACGUAGGGUGCAAGCGUUAAUCGGAAUUACUGGGCGUAAAGCGUGCGCAGGUGGUUUUGUAAGUCAGAUGUGAAAUCCCCGGGCUUAACCUGGGAACU